AGGUGGCGCUGUGCUCGAGAACGCGCUCAUAAAUGUCACGCUGAGCUCUUCCUCGUCGCUGACCUCUGCUGCGGUACCGAAAUCAAGCGAAAAUGGUUCCUCCAGUACAAGUAUCACCUCUGAUUAAGACAGCCAGGUGGUCUGCACUGCUGGUUGGGAUUAUCUAUGGAAAGCGACGAUAUGAUCACCUGAAGCCAAUCGCAGAGGAGGAGAGGAGAAUUGAAGAAGAGGAAAAGAAGGUCCGAGAGGAGAAGGAGCGUAUUGCUAAACUGGAGGCCGAAGCUAAUGAGGACACAAUUCUGAAAUGAGCUGCCUGGAAAGAAGCCUGUUUUGUUGCCAUUGUGAAGAUCUACUUUUUAUCUCCCUGGAUAAAGAGUGACAUUUGUACUCCGCUCUUUUUAGUUUCAUGUUGCCUUUUUUCGCACCUUACACUGUUUUUCCUCUAUUUGAUCGUACCAGAGUAAUACCUGCUUUUCUGAAAUAGUCCCCGAGUAUGUUCAAAUAUAUGAGUGCGUUCAGUC